rnacentral:rRNA from 1 species
UACAGAGGUGGCAAGCGUUGUUCGGAAUUACUGGGCGUAAAGGGCGCGUAGGCGGCCUACUAAGUCAGACGUGAAAUCCCCCGGCUUAACCUGGGAACUGCGUCUGAUACUGGAAGGCUUGAGGAUGGGAGAGGGAUGUAGAAUUCCAGGUGUAGCGGUGAAAUGCGUAGAUAUCUGGAGGAAUACCGGUGGCGAAGGCGGCAUCCUGGACCAUUACUGACGCUGAGGCGCGAAAGCUAGGGGAGCAACGGGG